AUAAUCUGUCUCUGGGUUGUGUCCGCAGAAAUUACCCCUGAUAAUGAAGUGGUAGCAGCAAAGCCCCGGAGAGUCCAGCAGAUUCUGUGAGGCUGCCUGAGCUUUGGGAUCUUGCUCAUAAUUCAGGGAAAGGCUUCUACGUAUCCCCAGUGCACUGGGAGAGCAUCUAUCCCAUGCUUGCUGCUUAGUGGGCACUCAAGAGAAGCUCUGGAGCAAGUGAACGCCACUUGAAGGAAAGAAAUCCUCACCUGGAAAACAAGUCUUCCAGAAUGUUCUUCACUACAACUGUAUAGCAGAACACAGCUGCUUUUUUUUUUCUUCUAUGGGCAUUGUUGGUGUCAGCCUGGUGUUCAAGGUUUGAUGGGGUUGUGGGGAUGUGCC
rnacentral:lncRNA from 1 species